UUGUCUCUCCCCCCCCCGCAUCAUCAGAUGGUUUCUUCUGUUAUAGUUGCAGAGCAGCAGAAUCACACAAAGACUGCAGUGAAAACCUCUUUCGAUAAGCUGCUGGAGAAAGGCUUCCUCCCAGGUAGCUUGGACUGGACUGCCUUUCAAUUUGAUUCCAACUUAUGGUGACCCUGUGAAUAGGGUUUUCAUGCUUCUGGGAUGAUCACCUUCACCAUCCACGCAGAUCUGCUCCAAAUACUGAACUCAUUAACCGUGGCCAAGUUCAAAAAUGAUAGGAGUGACCAUUUGCUAAGCCCCCAAAGUAGCCAAAAGGUCCCCAGUCUCUAAAAUUCUGCCAUCCCCCCCCCCAACUUUUAUUAUAUCUUAUUAAAACUGAUACAGGGACUUAGCUCACAAAUAAUCUGAGACAAAAUAAAAUGAAAGCAAAUCUCCGAAGAUUACAAGCAUAGACAGAUACAAUAACAAGCUCGAGUUGGCAUAAUUCUUAAGCAACCAGCCUGUUCAUGGCUAUAGGAAAGGAAUGUAUUGUACAGUGAGAAUUCUGCCUUUUUUUUCACUUUGCACAGGGCACUUGAGAAAGUUAGAGACAGCACAAUUCCCAUUUUGUGUACCCCCUUCUCUUGUUAAGCUAAGGGGACCCACUGGAACACCACUACCUCUCUGUCAAAUGCUGUCACUGUACAUAGCCCUUAAUAAUGCACUGGACUUGGCUUAAAAUAAGACCAAAAAUGUUUGUUUUCUUACUGAUGGCUUAGUUCUGCUGAUCCAAAAGAACUGGUAACCAGAAACUAAAUUUUAAUUAUUUGAAUGUUUGAAAUCUUAUGUCUUCAGGAAGGAUUUAAACGUUAAUGAAUUGUUUUUACUGUUGAUCUUGGAAUAAAAUUAUUUUGCUGUUGA